GAUCCCUGUGGCUUUGCUUCAGCACAUCUCCUUCUCGAGGUCUCUCCUUGAGGACUGAGAGAGAAUUCACUUUCACCUACGUGAGCGCAAGGAGGACCCUCUUUGGAGUUUUCUCCUUUUCCUUGAUUGAUUUUGCCAGAAAACAGACAUCCCUGUAUAGAAGCCAGUCGAUCGCCCUAGAGUCAUCACCCUGCCUGCUGGCUGGGCAGGUAACUCCUCAGGUCGCCAGCCUCUCCAGCCUGCCUUGGGCUUGGAGAGUGAGGAGGAGGGCGAGGGACAUCUGCUGACCCUGAACAUCCGCCGUCCAUCAGACCAUCUCCUAGAGCAACUUCGACUGUCUCCAGACCUGCCACAGCAUCCCCCUCACAGAGGCUGGCAAAGAUUAG